UCGAACGAGGUCCAUGGAGCUUGCUCCGGAAGACCUAGUGGCGAACGGGUGCGUAACACGUGAGAAAUCUGCCCCGGACUCUGGAAUAACAGUUGGAAACGACUGCUAAUACCGGAUGCCUUCAUUUGGCCGCAUGGUCGUUUGAAGAAAGAUUUAUCGGUUUGGGAGGAUCUCGCGGCCUAUCAGCUUGUUGGAGAGGUAACGGCUCACCAAGGCAUCGACGGGUAGCUGGUCUGAGAGGAUGAUCAGCCACACUGGAACUGAGACACGGUCCAGACUCCUACGGGAGGCAGCAGUGGGGAAUCUUGCACAAUGGGCGAAAGCCUGAUGCAGCGAUGCCGCGUGCGGGAAGAAGGCCCUAGGGUUGUAAACCGCUUUCAGGAGGGAAGAAAAUGACGGUACCUCCAGAAGAAGGUGCGGCCAACUACGUGCCAGCAGCCGCGGUGACACGUAGGCACCAAGCGUUAUCCGGAUUUAUUGGGCGUAAAGAGCUCGUAGGCGGUUUGGUAAGUCGGGUGUGAAAACUCUGGGCUCAACCCAGAGAGGCCACUCGAUACUGCUAUGACUAGAGUACGGUAGGGGAGCGGGGAAUCCCUGGUGUAGCGGUGAAAUGCGCAGAUAUCAGGAGGAACACCAGCGGCGAAGGCGCCGCUCUGGGCCGUAACUGACGCUGAGGAACGAAAGCAUGGGUAGCAACAGGAUUAGAUACCCUGGUAGUCCAUGCCGUAAACGUUGGGCACUAGGUGUGGGUCUCACCAACGAGAUCCGCGCCGUCGCUAACGCAUUAAGUGCCCCGCCUGGGGAGUACGUCGCAAGACUAAAACUCAAAGGAAUUGACGGGGGCCCGCCCAACAGCGGAGCG
rnacentral:rRNA from 1 species